rnacentral:tRNA from 1 species
AGUAAAAUGGCUGAGAGAUAGGCAUAAGACUGUAAAUCUUAUAAUGAGUAGAACAUUGUACUCUUUUAUUA